UAGCCUGGUUCUUCUUUUAUUCUAUAAUUUUGACAGAAACUUUUCGAACUGUUCAAUACUGAAAUAACAACUUUUCAGACGGGCAUUCCGAAUCAAAUCUCUUCCGCGAGCAAAAACACGUAAAGCGACCAUUACUGCUGUCAGAUCCUUGCUUGCUAUUUCGGGGAGAAUUUCUGUCACUGCACAACAACGCGUCUCAUAUCUCUGGCUGACAAACAUGUCAUUACAACGCAAAAGUCGCCUACUUUUCAGAACGUGUUUCGAAACUUACUACUACAUCGUGUGAAAGACGGGGAUUAUGUAACAUGGACUAACACCGUACAGAGCGCCGAAGGUAUCGUGUGCAACAGUACGGUGUGCCAAAGGAACUGACACGAUAUAAAAGGCGGAAAUAUCAAUAACAACAAUUUAUCACCCAGCAUUGUGUAACAGUGAGCUGUCAUAAAGAAGGAAGAAAACUAAGAAUGGCCUGGUCGAGUUUCUUCAAAGGACAAAAAGAGGGCAGCACAUCGUGUCAAGAUAAGAAGAAGAAGCCUUGUACAAUGUGUAAGGUGCAUGGCUGUUGCAAGACCUGUGGAAUAAAAUGCAAGUGUCAACACAUACUGGUUCAUCUUCCACUUUUCACCUACUACACUGACACAAUGCACUAAUGGAGAAAUCAGUAAUGUCAACCAAAAAGAUAAUAAAGAAUCAUCAUUGCAGCAUCCAGAUGUUGAGUUGGCACCAGAAGUGAAGCACAGUCUUAAGAAUACAAGUUAAUGUCACUCUGAAUCAUAAAUGAUUUCUACUGUCAAACACUGAGAAAGCAAAGUAGUAAUUAUCAGCCAUAUUGAAUUACAAGAUUGGAGCCCCAUUUAAUGAUCACUAAAGUAGCCUUUGCAAGUUUUAAGUAGGCGUGUUCCAUGGAACAAAACAGAAAAAUCUCAUCUUUAUCCACUCCUUGCAGGCUCCUGUGUUGUUCAGUUGUCUGUUUCUUUUCUAAAAUUUUUUCUUCCUUUCCUUUAUAAAUACAAGAAAGUGUUAGCUGUAUGAAGCACAAAGUAAAGGAGAUGAAAAUGAAUCAUUUGAACAAGAUUACAUUGAUGAAAGACUCUUGCGUUACAAGCCACAUCACGUGGCUGAAUGGUGAAUAAACCAUAUCUUAUGCCAUCGUUACGAGAGCAAUCUCGCGGCUCGUAACCCAAGAGCCUUUCAUCAACUUCAGUUGUCGCAAAAGCUUCACUGUAUACAUAAAAUUAUAUUGGUCAAGCUCGUGACAUUACCUUCUGAGAACUGUGAUUCAAUUCUAAUAAAAGGACACACUGCAAUUUAGUUUUACAAUAGUGCAAAGGAAAGAAAUAUUUUGUGAUUUUAAUCUUAACAACAUCAGGCAAGCAGGAAUAAUGGUUACAGAGGCAUCUUUCCUUCACCAAAUGUCUCAUAAGUGUGAGGAAAGAAAAGCCUGGUACAUCAAGUGGAAACUGUUAUAGACUGAAAACUUUAAGACAUUUCUGUAUACAGGAAACUUAUUUUCCACAGAAAACAUCCAAUGUAAAUAAUUUCUCCUGUGAAGCACAGUUUGCCAUCAAACAUUAAAUUAAGAAAACAGUGCAAUAUGUAAAGCAAUAUUAAGAAUGCACUGUAAUUUAGUACCAAAAGAGCUACAUUUUGCUUUUAGUUUUAUAAAUAACUCCCUGGUACCAGAACCCGCAGGUCCAACACUGACAACACCAAAGCCCAUCACCAGACACAAUCCUGAGCCAACUCAAUCCAUUUACCAUCCUCACAGACCACCUCCCUGAGAUCCAUCUUGAUAUUAUCCUCUCAUCUCCUUCUUGGUCUGUCCAGUGGUCAUUUUCCAGAAGGAUGUCCCACCAAAAUUCUGUAUCCCCUCCAAAGUGUGCUCCUUUCCAGCCCAUCAGAGCCUCCUAGGUUUCACUAUCCUCACUAUGUUAGCUGACCUGUGCAAUUCACACUGCUCCUAGUUAUGUAAUAUUCUAAA